rnacentral:tRNA from 1 species
GCGGCAGUAGCUCAGUUGGUAGAGUAUCAGCUUCCCAAGCUGAGGGUCGCGAGUUCGAGCCUCGUUUGCCGCU